CGUGAGUUUCCCCGGCACUGUAGAUCACCAGUGUCCGGACGGAACUGCCCUCGCUUCUCUGUUUUCUUUCCGUUUGUGUCCCUGUCCACGCAUCGCUCAUCUUAUUCCGUUUGUUCCUUCGUUGCUUUUCCUGAUUUCGGCUUUUGCUCUUUUCGUUUGGCUGUUCUUUCUUCCGAUCCUUUGUUUCCCUGUGAUAUAUGUGCUUUCUUUCGCGGAAAGGGUUGCUGAUUUUCGUGGUUUAAGGGAUUUUGUGGUUGCCGGGCCGUUGUGCGUCUAUUUAGAUUUGGGAUUUUUUGCGUUCCGAGGGUUUCGACAUCUCUAAUUGGGGUAAAGAAUUCCUGUUGUUUCCCCUUUUUUCCGUUUAGGAUUUCUGGGUUGUGGCUGGGUUUUUGGCCGAUUUACACCUCUUUUCAAGGGUGGCGUCUUUGUAGCCCGCUGUGGAACAAGUGUGAUCCAACUAAGAAAUUUUGUGCCCAUCGUGGGUUCGCUUCGAACUUGGUUGAGACCGAUCUAAUCCGGCAUUUCCAGGUGAGUUUUGCAUGUUUAUCAGCUUAUAUGGUUUCGAUCUUUUGUUUUUCGUUGGAAUGUUAUUGUACGCGUCUGAUGCAUUUUGUUUUUCAGAUUCGGGAAACCGUCCCUUUCAGAUUUUUGGAUUUUCGAUUCUCAUUAUUGGCACUCUCUGUGCUAAAAGUAUAUAAUUGUAUUAUUUGUUUUUUCCUUUGUUUCCUUUGCGGCUGAAUUUUAUUUUAUUUUGGUUUUGUUUUGGUGAUUUGGGACCUUUUUUGUGCAUGUAUGGGUUGUUAAUUGGUAAUGCAUAUUUUCUUGCUGAUUUUUGUGCUAGCAAUUUUAUUUAAAUCCACAGCUGCUUUUUUUCAUUUGACUUGCUGUGAUGGUUAUGCUUGAUUCAUAAGAUUUGAGGCAGUCGUGAUAAAAUUUGAAGAGUGAUAUCUACGUUAUUUUGGAUUUGUGAGAGUGAUUUGUGAGAGCAAUGAGUAAAUUUUCAUAUGUAGUGUAGGGUCAAGUUUAAUAAUCAUUAAUGCUAUUUGGUAUAUGUCUGGUAGAAACGCUAUCAAAUUGUAGAUACACGGUUUGUUGGUGCAGCAGGGGGCUGGAAAUUUUUUUCAAUAUGUUUUUUAUGGUUUGGCUUUUUUCUGUUGGGCCUUUCCCGGCUAAAAUAGUAUUUUGCAUUUUGGUUGCUCGGUUAAUAAAUUUGAGAUCUGCUGGCACCUGUGACGCUCUUCUUAUAAUUUUUGCGAAGAAAUGAGAGGAUCCGUUGGAAUUUUGGAAAGCUUUGUCUUCAUGUUUUACGAACGUGGAGAGGAAGAAAGAAAACACUAGUUUAGAUUGCAAUUUUGAAACUUUUUAUGUUGUUAAUGCUGGAACCAAUGUGUUUUGUUGCGAAAUUCUUUCUCACUUUUAUUUGGCAGAGGGACACAACUCUUACGUAUAUGAUUUCAAGUUUUUCCUUUAGAAAUUCAAGCUCUAUUGGAUACAUGAGGUAUAAGAGUCUGUUUGGGAUAUUUUCAAGUUUUACUGAUUCCUGAAAAAAAGCAUGCUUAAGAGUAAUCAUAUUUCAGUUUUUAUUGAAUUCAGGUAACCAUCUUCAGUUUUUUGCUUUGAUCUGAAGGCUUUGUUUUGUUCAGAUAUCAAAGUUGGGCAUGAGUUCAUAUGUUUUUCAGUGUUUUUAUUCCGAUUUAAUAAUGUGAGUUAAUGGUGCGAUGCUGAUUUAGGCUAUAAAUUCAGAGGCUUUUCAAUAGGCAAGUUUGCAACAUGGAAUUCAGGGGCAGUUGUAUCAUUAGCUGAAAUAUACUAGAUCUAAUCCUUAGACAUCAUUUUUCACUUUGAUUAAGAUGUGUGCCUGCCUUCUCAGUACAAAACUGGCUUACAUAUCAUUUUACACCACAUUCUCAUGUUUUUUUUUAUGC